AACGAACGCUGGCGGCAUGCCUAACACAUGCAAGUCGAACGAGACCUUCGGGUCUAGUGGCGCACGGGUGCGUAACGCGUGGGAACCUGCCCUUAGGUUCGGAAUAACUCCCCGAAAGGGGUGCUAAUACCGGAUAAUGUCUUCGGACCAAAGAUUUAUCGCCUUUGGAUGGGCCCGCGUUGGAUUAGCUAGUUGGUAGGGUAAAAGCCUACCAAGGCGACGAUCCAUAGCUGGUCUGAGAGGAUGAUCAGCCACACUGGGACUGAGACACGGCCCAGACUCCUACGGGAGGCAGCAGUGGGGAAUAUUGGACAAUGGGCGAAAGCCUGAUCCAGCAAUGCCGCGUGAGUGAUGAAGGCCUUAGGGUUGGAAAGCUCUUUUACCCGGGAUGAUAAUGACAGUACCGGGAGAAUAAGCGCCGGCUAACUCCGUG
rnacentral:rRNA from 1 species